rnacentral:lncRNA from 1 species
GCUAUUCCUGUUCGGAAAAAGAGCCAAAGCGAAAAAAAUCAGCCACUUUCAAACUCCAGCUUUUCAGGCAAGUUUCAAUAGAGGUCCAACACCAAUAUGCAUGAUGUAAUGAGAGAAAUUGCGAUUUCCGGGUGAUGGCUCCUUUAAGAACAGAAUAAGGGGGAGUUCUCAAAUGUAUACAUAACAUAAGGAGCACACAUGAAGAGCUUUUGCAGCUUUGUUGUUUUUUCAAUCAGGAAUUGUAUAAAUGCACUGCUUGGAUUCUUAUUUCAAAAACAUGCUGAUGCUGGAUGGAGAAAGAGACAUUAAUGACUGAGGACAUAAUUGGUCGAGCAGAAGAGAGCGGACUCUUUCAGCAUGUUAAUUACAUGAGGAUGAAGGGUGUUAUGAUCUUUCUGCUGUUGACGCUGGUCGUCAUCAUGGCUGAACCUGAGGAGAGUCAUAAUCCACAUGAUAUUGUCUGCGUGCGGCCCCCAUGCAGACCUCCAUGGAGACAACGCAGAUGGGGAAGAUCCCAAGAUGAAGUGGCCGAAGAAAGACUGAGGCGAUACUAUGAAGACUGAGUCUGUUCUUGGUUUUGAAGAUAUAGUUUCAGCUAUGUCUUUGUGCUCUGCAAAGCAAGAAAUAAUUGGAUGAGUAAACAUGAAGCUUUUGAGAUGUAGUGAUUUUAGUCACAGCUCCAACUGAUGUUGAAAAAAGUAAAAUUGCUUGAUAGUGAAAACUAUCCUGCUGAAUAAAGCUGCAUUCCAAAAGACCGUCUCUGUGUUGUGGUGUUAUUUAAGUGAACAUGUGCUUGUAAUUUUAUUGGUGAUGAUGAUCAAGAACAUUGUUUUUAUUAAGUCUGAGGUAAAUGUUUGUAUUAAGUAGAUUUAAAUAAUGAGUGUGUUGGUGUGAUCAGUUUAUAAAUGAACACUCUUCCUAUUUCUUUCUCUUUCUGAAUGUACUUGUGUCUCUGAUAAAGCAACACGUUGGAAAUGAUUCAAUUCUGACAUUUCCUCCAUCAACAGAUGAAUUACUUGGUCUAUAAAGC